rnacentral:rRNA from 1 species
AGAGUUUGAUCAUGGCUCAGGAUGAACGCUAGCGACAGGCUUAACACAUGCAAGUCGAGGGGCAGCACGGGAGUAGCAAUACAACUGGUGGCGACCGGCGCGACGGGUGAGUAACGCGUAUGCAACCUACCUAUCAGGAGGGAAUAACCCGGCGAAAGUCGGACUAAUACCGCAUAAAACAGGGGCACCGCAUGGUGAUAUUUGUUAAAGAGAUUCGCUGAUAGAUGGGCAUGCGUUCCAUUAGGUAGUUGGUGAGGUAACGGCCCACCAAGCCGACGAUGGAUAGGGGAACUGAGAGGUUGGUCCCCCACACUGGUACUGAGACACGGACCAGACUCCUACGGGAGGCAGCAGUGAGGAAUAUUGGUCAAUGGGCGGGAGCCUGAACCAGCCAAGUCGCCGUGAAGGAAGAAGGAUCUAUGGUUCGUAAACUUCUUUUGCAGGGGAAUAAAGUGCAGGACGUGUCCUGUUUUGUAUGUACCCUGAGAAUAAGGAUCGGCUAACUCCGUGCCAGCCGCCGC